rnacentral:rRNA from 1 species
AAUCGCUAGUAAUCGCGGAUCAGAAUGCCGCGGUGAAUACGUUCCCGGGUCUUGUACACACCGCCCGUCACACCAUGGGAGUCGGAAAUGCCCGAAGUCUGUGACCCAACCUGAGAGGGAGGGAGCAGCCGAAGGCAGGUCUGAUGACUGGGGUGAAGUCGUAACAAGGUAAC